AAAGGUAGCAUAAUCAUUAGGAGUUUAAUUGGAACCUGGAAUGAAGGGUCGGACAAAGGAGAAACUGUCUGUGAAACUAAGUUUGAAGUUUACCUUUAAGUGAAAAGGCUUAAAUAAAUCAAAGGGACGAUAAGACCCUAUAAAGCUUUAUAUGUAAUUUAAGUUUGAUUGAUUUAGGUGAUAAAAAUUAAAUUUAAUUAUUUUAUUUUGUUGGGGUGAUGUGAGUAUAAUUUAAAUUAACUGCUUAAAAAAAAUUCUUUUAUAAAAGGUUUAUAAAAUAAAUGAUCCUUUUUAAAGAUUAAAAGACUAAGUUACUUUAGGGAUAACAGCGUUAUUUCUUUUGAGAGUUCAUAUCGAAAAAGAAGAUUGCGACCUCGAUGUUGAAUUAAAAUAUCUAUAUAGUGCAGCCGUUAUAAAAGAGGGUCUGUUCGACCUUUAAAUU
rnacentral:rRNA from 1 species